CAGUAGCCGCGGUAAUACAGAGGGUGCGAGCGUUAAUCGGAUUUACUGGGCGUAAAGCGUGCGUAGGCGGCUUUUUAAGUCGGAUGUGAAAUCCCUGAGCUUAACUUAGGAAUUGCAUUCGAUACUGGGAAGCUAGAGUAUGGGAGAGGAUGGUAGAAUUCCAGGUGUAGCGGUGAAAUGCGUAGAGAUCUGGAGGAAUACCGAUGGCGAAGGCAGCCAUCUGGCCUAAUACUGACGCUGAGGUACGAAAGCAUGGGGAGCAAACAGGAUUAGAUACCCCAGUAGUCCCUGUCUCUUAUCA
rnacentral:rRNA from 1 species